rnacentral:rRNA from 1 species
GACGAACGCUGGCGGCGCGCUUAACACAUGCAAGUCGAACGGAAAGGCCUGCUUUCCCUUGUGGAUUGCGGGUACUCGAGUAGCGAACGGGUGAGUAACACGUGAGUGAUCUGCCCCCAACUUGGGUAUAAGCCUGUGAAACUGGGUCUAAUUCCCUGUAGUACUGCAGGGUGGUGCCUGUGGUUGAAAACGAUUGUCUAGUGGUUGGGGAUGAGCUGGCGGCCUAUCAGCUGGUUGGUGGGGUAAUGGCCUACCAAGGCGGGGACGGGUAGCCGGCCUGAGAGGGUGGACGGCCACAUUGGGCCUGGGAUACGGCCAAGACUCUUACGGGAGGAGGCAGUGGGGAAAAUUGUACAAUGGGCGGAAGCCUGAUGCGGCGAGGCGGGGUGAGGGAUGACGGCCUUCGGGUUGUAAACUCCUUUCGACCGCGAGGAAGCCACCUGGUUGGAAGGGUGGUGACGGUAGUGGUAGAAGAAGCACCGGCUAACUACGUG